UGGGAGGCAGCAGUGGGGAAUAUUGGACAAUGGGCGAAAGCCUGAUCCAGCCAUGCCGCGUGUGUGAAGAAGGUCUUCGGAUUGUAAAGCACUUUAAGUUGGGAGGAAGGGCAGUAAGCUAAUACCUUGCUGUUUUGACGUUACCAACAGAAUAAGCACCGGCUAACUUCGUG
rnacentral:rRNA from 1 species